UACAGAGGUCUCAAGCGUUGUUCGGAUUCAUUGGGCGUAAAGGGUGCGUAGGCGGUGAGGUAAGUCGGAUGUGAAAUCCCAAGGCUUAACCUUGGAAGUGCAUCCGAAACUACCUCGCUUGAGGACUGGAAGGGAGACUGGAAUUCUCGGUGUAGCGGUGAAAUGCGUAGAUAUCGAGAGGAACACCUGUGGCGAAGGCGGGUCUCUGGACAGUUCCUGACGCUGAGGCACGAAAGCCAGGGGAGCAAACGGG
rnacentral:rRNA from 1 species